AAUUAAUGUAGCGUAACCAGGCGAUGCAAGAGACCUAAACCCUUUUUAUGGAGGUUCAANUCCCCUCAUUAACU
rnacentral:tRNA from 1 species